AGAUGAAGGAAUUUGGGUUC
rnacentral:miRNA from 1 species